rnacentral:lncRNA from 1 species
UUCAUCCCCUCCGUGGUUCCUCCUCUCGCUUGCAGGAUAAAUCAAUGCUACUUUAGUUAAAGGAGUGACCUGAAGCUGUGGGUGGUCUGCAGUGCACUCCCAUGGAGCCACAUUGCCUUUAUAAACCUGAACCUUGUUGCUCUGAAAGUGGUGGAUACUGCCAGCCUGCACCAAGAUCACCCUCAUGUUGCCCACAAGGGUGAAUGGAAAUAUCAUACAGGAGAGAGCUGGAAGGGUUGCAGGCAGUGCCUGGUAGCUGUCAGCAGGCGGACAAGUGGUUGUAAGGACUGACCUGCCAGGGGCAGAUUUGACAUGGAAAGUCUUCCCUUUUUAGGUUCUGCUUGGAUUAGGUAGGUGAGAAUAAAUCAAUUGUCACCUGAGGUAUAACUAAGAAU